GGCAGUGUAGCUUAGAUGGUUAGAGCGCACGGCUCAUACCCGUGAGGUCAUUAGUUCAAAUCUAAUCACUGUCA
rnacentral:tRNA from 1 species